rnacentral:rRNA from 1 species
AGUGAACGCUGGCGGCGUGCCUAAUACAUGCAAGUCGAACGGAGUGGCGCACGGGUGAGUAAUAUAUAGCUACUCUGCCCCUUGCUGGAGGACACCAGUUAGAAAUGACUGCUAAUACUCCAUAGCAAGGGAUGAGACUAUUUCGUAUCAGCAAGUCGGUGGGGUAACGGCCUACCGCGGCUAUGACGCGUAAAUGGUCUAAGAGGAUGAUCAGUCACAUUGGAACUGAGAGACGGUCCUGACUCCAACGGAAGGAAGCAGGAGGGAAUAUUGCGCAUUGGGGGAAUCCCUGACGCAGCAACGCCGCGUCGAGGAUGACACUUUUCGGAUCGUAAAACUCUGUUGUUAGAGAAGCGUUAGUAACUGAACGGCCCCUGACGGUAUCUAACCAGAAAGCAACGGUAACUACGUGCCAGCAGCCGCGGUAAUAC